rnacentral:lncRNA from 1 species
CAGAGGUGAGAGUGUUGCAAUUGUGAAGCCAACGGAUGAGGAACCUUUUGCCCCCAAUAACCCAAAAGGUUUUGUUGGUAAAGCUCUUGGGCAGCCAGGUUUGAAACGUACUGUUAGGGUUGGGGAGACGGGGUUCAGAGAAGUCGCUGCUUACCUGCUUGACUAUGAUCAUUUUGCCAAUGUGCCCCCCACUGCACUGGUGAAGAUCACGCAUUCAAUCUUCAAUGUCAAUGAUGGAGUGAAUGGAAACAAGCC